GAGUUUGAUCAUGGCUCAGAUUGAACGCUGGCGGCAGGCUUAACACAUGCAAGUCGAGCGGUAGCACGGGGGAGCUUGCUCCCUGGGUGACGAGCGGCGGACGGGUGAGUAAUGUCUGGGAAACUGCCUGAUGGAGGGGGAUAACUACUGGAAACGAUAGCUAAUACCGCAUAACGUCGCAAGACCAAAGAGGGGGACCUUCGGGCCUCUUGCCAUCAGAUGUGCCCAGAUGGGAUUAGCUAGUAGGUGGGGUAAUGGCUCACCUAGGCGACGUUCCCUAGCUGGUCUGAGAGGAUGACCAGCCACACUGGAACUGAGACACGGUCCAGACUCCUACGGGAGGCAGCAGUGGGGAAUAUUGCACAAUGGGCGCAAGCCUGAUGCAGCCAUGCCGCGUGUGUGAAGAAGCCUUCGGGUUGUAAAGCACUUUCAGCGAGGAGGAAGGUGGUGAGCUUAAUACGCUCAUCAAUUGACGUUACUCGCA
rnacentral:rRNA from 1 species